rnacentral:lncRNA from 1 species
UUUAAUCGUAAGCCUUGAAGGUUCGUCGACUGGUUGGUUUUUGAGUUGACAACGACGUCAGUCUCUGGUGGUAAUCGAGAUUCCAUCAAGAGCUCAAGUCCAGUUUUGCUGCUCCAAAACAGGUAACCUUUCAUCAUUUUUAGUUUCAAAAUAUUUUUUUUCCUUUCUUUCAUUCUGCCAGGCGAUUCUGCUCUUAGCAUUUUAGUCGUAUAAUCAUGUCAUUCGCAAUCGUAGUUGCUGGGUUUGUUAGCUAUAGAGGUCUUAAAGACCAUAGAUUUUUUAAUGUUAAAGUUUCGUGCUUUUGAUUUUUGUUGGAGUAGCUAGUGUCCUGUUAAGGUUGGCUUCAAUGUUUAAAGUUUCAUUCUUUUGAAGUUUCGGGCUGUUGGAACUUUGUUUAUCUGAUUUUUUUGCGGUUAAAGUUUGUGUUUCAAUUUUGUUUAAUACGUUUUGAGCUGCUGAAUAUUGUUCACCUGAUAUCCGUGUUCCAUUUGUUGCGGAAUUACAAGUUUGAAUCUUUCAUUUCCUUUUUGAGUUUGUUUCAAGUCAGUAUUUCGUUUGUUUGAUCCCCAAAGAAAUGCAUUGAUUUUAUUAUAAAAGGGAAUGGAAAGGGUCUCUUUGAUGUCAAAAUCAGUACAUGGGGUGCAUUCUCUUUGAGUUGGGUCAUGUGGUUUUGUUUGGGCAUGAAGUUCUUGAAAUUGCUUGCAACUAUUUUCUUUCGUCUUUAGAAACAUGAGAAUGGCAUAUGGUUUGGGUGUUGAUUGGUUUACCUGAAAUACCCGACGCUAUCUUGAUUUUAGGGUUGGGGAAUGAUGAUAGUUUUCUUAGUUUAAGUGAAACCUCCCUUGCCUAUUUUAAUAUAUUGCAAUGGUUACAAACUGUUGCAAUAGAUACUGUUGCAACAAAGUUGAACCGUUGCAAUAUCAUCUAUUGCGACGACAUUAAACCGUUGCAAUAACAUCUAUUGCGACACAUUUGUACUAUUGCAACACUUUUUGAGUACCUAUUGUAAUGCUUUAUUAAUCUAUUGCAACAAUGAUUGCCAUGUGUUAUUAAAUUGAAACGAUUUAUAUAAAUAGUUGUAUUAAUGUAAAUUUUUAUUACAUAAUAAAUUUUAACACAAUAUAUAAACAUUACAAAACAAAAUCAUUCAUUAAUAAUCUCAAAAUUCAAAAUAUACAGCAAGCUAGUAAUUUCAACCCAAAAGUAAAAUGUAAUCAAGUCCAAAUGAUUAGUUAAGUUUUUACAUACUAGCAAGUUCAAGUUGCGAUAAGUUUCAAAAAAUUCAACACAAAACUAUUGAUGUUAGAGCAUUUAUCCACAACCCAAAAAUCUUCUUAAGGACGGUCAAUGUUUUCAUCAUUUUCUUCAUCUUCUCUUUCUUCAUUUUGAACAUCUAUAAAAAGAGAACAAAUAAUAUAAAUUAGCACUUAAAUAACAACAUAAAAAGGACUAUUCCACAACAAAAUAAGCACAUAAACCAUGUAUAAGUUAGCUAGUAAAGAGGCAAAUCCUCUCGACUGUCUAGCUCGUUGAAACAGCAAACUCCCCAAAGUGGUAGGCUUGUAUCUUUUCUUCUAGUGUAUCUGAAUUUACUCUUCCACCAAAAAUUGUAGCUUACUCUUUUCUGUAACUACAUGUUUAUUAAGCUUUUGCAGCUUUUAAGUUGGACCGCGCUAUUGAUGUUCAAAUUGUCUAACUUGAUUUUUUGUUUCAGGCAGGAGAGAUAGUAUCCUGCCACCAAGAAAACAGAAAGGAAGCCUCUAUGUCCCUUAUACACCUAGAACUGAAUCAACACAGAUGCAAAAGGCUCUUUGAAAUCCAUAAAGUGUGAUUCUCAAAUCCACAUAAUUUCA